rnacentral:rRNA from 1 species
AUGUCGGUACUUGCACCUCUUGUUGGUUACCAAAUGGCCGACGGUCGUCGGUUUUUGGAGCGAUUUCCUUUUCUUAGCAAGCCAGGUUGUUCGAGUCGCGUGUGCCAACGAGACCUUACCGCCCAUCACAUCCGUCCAAAUAUACAAGCUAAAGUUUACCCACCGUUGUAUGCUUAUAUGCAUCUUUAUAAAAUCUCACAUCUAAGUGAGUAAAACGAAACAUACAUCAGUGAACAAUUUUACAGAUCUUUCUGUUUAUAAACUUUUACCUCCUUCAUCAAAUAUGUUCUUUUUACAUAUAGAUCAACCUCGUGAUUUUUUUCAACCAUGAGGCAUGUACGUAUCCAUCAGAUGCCAGCAGACUAGUGAGUGUUUCAAACUACGAACGAACAACUGUGUAAUCGGGCACUUUCACACUUUUGCAAGCGCUGAAAUGUUCAAUGUUGUUUGGUGUGCCUGUUGGCAAAAGAUACGUCGAGGGGAGUGGGUGAGCGGGUUGGGGAUGGGCAGAGAAUAGGUAAGGUCACUGACUCUCAGUCUCCUCUACACCGUCGCUGUGGCUAGACGAGCGCCGCCGGUACCACCCAGAACGCCGCACCCUGUCGACGAAGGCCGCAGGCUGCCGUCGUGCGUAGGGGGUUUCGGGCUGGACGAGUUCGAUGCGCGUCGAGCAGGUGGAAGGUGAGUUUCGCUGUUGCCGCCGGCGCCUCCUGGUCACCGUCGGUACCGACCAGAGCUAAGCUGCACGGCGCCGUCCCGAUCCGCGCACAUCCGACGAGCCGUAGUCGCCGGCUGUCGCGCGUGGACACGUUCCUCCAGGAGCAGCUUCUUAUAGUCUCGGCGGAACAAGAACUUGAGUGUCUCCUCGUACACCAGCGGGAGACCCAGGAACAUGACCGCUCCACUGCUUAGCCACUGGUGCGAGGCCCCGCUCGCUCCGGCCCCACGUGCUGCUCGGUUCAGCGAUAGGACCCGAGACAUUAACCUUUAAAGCCCGGCUCGCUCGUGUAGGCCAACCAAUCGACCGCGGAACCGCCCUCGACGACGACGAGGAGCGACCCUUGUUGGUGGUAUAGGAGUCCGCCGCCAUCGCUGAGCAAGCACACGCGCGACCCGGCCUCGCAGUGCCCGCGGUAGUGCCGCUGGUGUGGUUCGCGUUCCCGGAACCCUUGUCGGUCUACGGGGAUGUGAUGUUCGAAAGAGUCUUCUACCGUAAUCCAUCACAAGAAAGUGCCGUGAUGAUAGAUAAAGUACUCCUUGGUGAACCGUCUAGACAUCCUAGCGUUACAAGUCGGACCGAAGUUAGAAACUAGACUAGUUUAGCUCACGCCGGUGGCGGGAAACGGACGUCCACUGGCGGCGGCGGCGGCGGCCUCUUUGAGCGGAGGCGUGGGCGUGCGGAGUCUAGGCGACCUAGGCUCUACUACUCC